rnacentral:rRNA from 1 species
CCACGCAGUAAACGAUGAUUACUAGGAGUUUGCGAUAUAAUGUAAGCUCUACAGCGAAAGCGUUAAGUAAUCCACCUGGGGAGUACGCCGGCAACGGUGAAACUCAAAGGAAUUGACGGGGGCCCGCACAAGCGGAGGAACAUGUGGUUUAAUUCGAUGAUACGCGAGGAACCUUACCCGGGUUUGAACGCAGUCUGACCGCCGAUGAAAGUCGGUUUCUAGCAAUAGCGGAUUGCGAGGUGCUGCAUGGUUGU